rnacentral:lncRNA from 1 species
GUUUUUGGACCUGUCCAAGGACGUUUUUUGUACCGAAAAUAGGCAAGCGAAUGCAUUACGUUUGCACCCGGGUCAAAGCACUUAAACCGGGUUUUCUUGAUAAUGCCGUGGACACAGUGGACUGGAAAACCCUAACACACGCUAUUUCUCCGGUGGAUUUUAUUGCACCAUUGCCGCAGGCCCGCAGGUAACAGUCUUUUCGUCUCUUCGUGCACGCACCUACAUUUUUUUUUGUGUGAUAUUGUGUAAGCGUGUGUACAUAUGGUUGUUAUUGUUCCUCAGGGAGAAUUUCUUGUUACAAUGAUUUCUUUUAUAGCUUCUCAAUUUUAACUUAGCAGUGUUCCCAAAUGAUAGAAAAUUGUCAAUUUGGGGGAAGUGGAUUUUUUUAGAGUGAAUUAUUCUUUUUGAAAUGCCAAUUUUGAAAGCCUAAUCUUUUUUUUCUUCGAUUAAUUAUAAAUUAAUUUUUUUUCUUUCUUUUUUUCAUUUAUUUAGUUUUGUUUUGUGUUGGUGGGGGUUUCAGAGUGAAAAAUUAUACUGUAUAUGUGAUACUUGAAAAGCUUAUAUGAAUUCAGCUGUUUGAAUGUGGAAAGCUGAAUUUCAUUUUUCAAUUUUCUUUUUAGUUUGUCUUCAAAAGUAAGAAAUGGGUGAGAAGAAGAAGGCUGGUGCAAUGUUGGUGAGGCUUGUUUCGGCGGCGGGGACUGGGUUCUUCUACGUGGUGAAGAAGACCAAAAGG